rnacentral:rRNA from 1 species
CCUACGGGUGACAGCAGUGGGGAAUAUUUCACAAUGGGGGAAACCCUGAUGCAGCGACGCCGCGUGAGUGAAGAAGUAUCUCGGUAUGUAAAGCUCUUUUAGUAGGGAAGAAAAUGACGGUACCUGACUAAGAAGCCCCGGCUAACUCCGUGCCAGCAGCCGCGGUAAUACGGAGGGGGCAAGCGUUAUCCGGAUUUACUGGGUGUAAAGGGGGCGUAGACGGCAGCACAAGUCAGAGGUGAAAUCCCGGGGCUUAACCCCGGAACUGCAUUUGAAACUGUGCGGCUAGAGUUUAGGAGGGGUAGGCGGAAUUCGUGGUGUAGCGGUGAAAUGCGUAGAUAUUAGGAGGAACACCGAUGGCGAAGGCGGCUUACUAGACUGUAACUGACGUUGAGGCUCGAAAGCGUGGGGAGCAAACAGGAUUAGAUACCCGAGUAGUC